AUUGAACGCUGGCGGCAUGCUUUACACAUGCAAGUCGAGCGGCAGCGCGGGGGCAACCCUGGCGGCGAAGCGGCGAAACGGGUGAGUAAUGCAUCGGAACGUACCCUGGAGUGGGGGAUAACGCCGCGAAAGCGGCGCUAAUACCGCAUAUGCUCUGAGGAGGAAAAUGGGGGACCGCAAGGCCUCACGCUCUGGGAGCGGCCGAUGUCCGAUUAGCUAGUUGGUGGGGUAAAGGCUUACCAAGGCGACGAUCGGUAGCUGGUCUGGAGGAUGAUCAGCCACACUGGGACUGAGACACGGCCCAGACUCCUACGGGAGGCAGCAGUGGGGAAUUUUGGACAAUGGGGGCAACCCUGAUCCAGCCAUGCCGCGUGAGUGAGAAGGCCUUCGGGUUGCGAAGGCGUCUUUUGGUUCGGGUAAGAAAG
rnacentral:rRNA from 1 species